CCGUCGGGAAGUCGGGACCGCAAGGCCUGACGCGAUUGGAUGAGCCCAUGUUCGAUUAGCUAGUUGGCGGGGUAACGGCCCACCAAGGCGACGAUCGAUAGCUGGUCUGAGAGGAUGAUCAGCCACACUGGAACUGAGACACGGUCCAGACUCCUACGGGAGGCAGCAGUAGGGAAUAUUGGACAAUGGGCGCAAGCCUGAUCCAGCCAUGCCGCGUGAGUGAAGAAGGCCCUCGGUUGUAAAGCUCUUUUGUUGGGGAAGAAAAGCAGUUGGUUAAUACCCGAUUGUUCUGACGGUACCCAAAGAAUAAGCACCGGCUAACUUCGUG
rnacentral:rRNA from 1 species